rnacentral:misc_RNA from 1 species
UUUCCGUAGGUGAACCUGCGGAAGGAUCAUUGUCGAAACCUGCCCAGCAGAACGACCCGCGAACUUGUAUAAACAACCGGGGGCGGGGGGCGUUCUCGCCCCGUGCCCCCGAACGGCGGGGAGACACUCGUGCCUUCUUGCCGAACAACGAACCCCGGCGCGGCCUGCGCCAAGGAACUUCAACUAAAGAGUGCCUCCGGUCGCCUCGGAAACGGCGUGCGUGCCGGGGGCGAAUCUUGUGCAAAACCAUAACGACUCUCGGCAACGGAUAUCUCGGCUCUC